AUGCACUUUCUUCCCCAUCUUCCACUCUUCUUCCUCCUCUCUUCUUCUUCCUCCUCUCUUCCCCAUCGUCGGCCACACACCAUUUACCCCCGCUCACUGCUCGCCGCCCGCGCCAUCUUCCUUGUAUCAUACAACUGGAAUUACCGAUGCAAUUCGAAGAAGGAUUGGUCGGUGCUGCCGGCUAGCGUCAAGUUCGAUCCCACGGAUCAGGAGCUGAUCGAGCACCUUGAGGCCAAAGUGAGUGCUGACAGCGCAAGAUUUCAGUCUCUCAUCGAUUUGUUCAUACCAACCAUCGAUAGCGAGCACGGCAUAUGCUACACCCAACCUGAGAAACUUCCAGGUAUCACACUGAGUGGCCUAAGGAAGCAUUUCUUCCAGCGCAAUUCCAGGGCGUUCAAAAGGGGCACGUGGACGCGUCGCAAGAUACAGUCGGAGUGGAGCAAGCACGCGAUGUGGCACAAGACCGGCAAUACCUUGUCGAUGAUGGUCAACAGCCGGCAGACGGGCGGCAAAAAAGGCUCUGGUGCUGCACACCAACAAGAACUUCGACCAGCAGAGGACCAACUGGGUGAUGCACCAGUACCACCUCAGGCACUUGGAGAAAGAGAAGGAGCGGGAGCUGGUCGAGCAAGUUUCAACUGGGCUGUAGACUGCCCAGGGUUGGUUUUGUUUUUAACAGACCCAGCCCAUGACGACAACGGGGCACAAAGAUCCAGCAGUUUUUUUACUGAAUCAAACACACAGCCAGUUCUAUUUUCCUCUUGA
rnacentral:rRNA from 1 species